UAUUAUGGUUCAGUUUUAUUUUACUUUCUAGAUAUUGAUGUUUUCAGUUGGUUUUGAAAUGUAAUAAAGGAUUUGUGUCUUCUUAAAAUAAAAAUGAUUUUCUACCCGUCGUGGUAGCGUUUUAAAAAGUUAAAAGUUCCUGUGUAGGGAACAGUUUCAAAAGGUUUUCUGUGGAUUUUGUAUCUUAGUAUUUCAAAACCUGUUUCUGCGGUUGAAAAUAUUUUAACUGAUAGAUGUGGAUUUAUGUUUAAAUAUUGAAUGUAUAAAUGUGAAACUAUGGUGAAUGGUGUAUGAAUGUAUAACUGUUGGUUAUUUGUAUGUUCAUCUGGUUGUGGUUGUAUCAUGUUUGAACUCUUGUACUUAUGUGACGCCGUGCAAAUACAGGGGAGACUCUGUUCGUGUGAACAGUGGAUCUCCUGUAUUUGUGGCAGAUCUGGCAUACUCUGGGGUCAGAUUUUUUUUUUAAAAAAAAAGACGUUUUUCUGCUAUCUUUUAAACUAAAAGGGACCCCGGG
rnacentral:lncRNA from 1 species